GCUUCAAGAGGAAAGCAGCUUUGUACAUCAUCAUGGACAAGAGUAAAGUCAAGUACGUUCUGCAUAUGUUUGAGUGGACCCGCAUGCACCUGGGGCGCCUCAAGGCAAUCCUGGUCUGAAAAUAUUAAAUGAAAAAUCCACAGAUAAACAACUGACAAGUUUUAACUUGCUGUGCUGUUCCAAGUAGUGUGGUGGGAGCUCCUGAUAUCCCCCUCUUACUCAGGCCCACCCAGGAUGUGAAUCAUCUCUUUGCCCACAACAUCUACCUGUCUACCUUCCCACUUGUUAGCCACUUAGCAGCUCUCUGGGUCAUCAAAUCCACUGUUGAGAUAUCACGGUGUUUGUGUUCAAAGAAAUCUUGUUUUACUUAAUGGCCCCAAAGUGCAAAAGUACUGAUGCUGGCAAUUCAAAAAUGCCAAAGAGAAGCCAUAAAGUGUUCCUUUUAAGUGAAAAGGUGAAAGUUAAUCAUAGGGCCUGCAUGUGUAGAAACCAAGAUAAUCUAUAUUGGAUUUAGUACUAUCUGUGGUUUCAGGCAUCCACUGAAGAUCUUGAAAUGUAUCCCCUAUGGAUAAAGGAGGACUACUGUAUUCCCAAUGGAUUUUGCAAGAAGAAAAUUAAUCAUUCACAAAAUAUUUUAACCUUAGAAUUCAAAUAAAUGUGUGUAUUCUCUACAAGUUAAACAUAAA
rnacentral:lncRNA from 1 species